rnacentral:lncRNA from 1 species
UCCUUUUCUGUUCUAUUUUUCUCUCUCUAGAGGAGGACAAAGUUUCAAAGGUCUCGAUGGCCCUCUAGCGAUCUCGAAGAGCCGUCGGUGGCUUUCUUGAUCUUUUUAUCUCCUUCCAUCUUACCUCUCUAUUCUUCUCCCUCCUCUCGUCUUUGCUAAUGUUUUAUUGCCAAAACUUUACUGAUUGGCAGUCGGGAGCGUUCAGCAAAAUUUGUGUGGUAGAAGAUGCAUCUGACCUUGCUAAAUGGGCAAGAUCGGUAGUAAAAUACAUUUCUCUCUGCGUUGUAGAGGCCCCCAUGGGCAGUCAGUACGUGGUCAUCUUCCUGGCAUAUGCACUUCCCUUACCAUCACCUUUUUCUUAUAGUCAGUGUUCACCCCAGCAUAGUUGAUCCUUCUAAUUUCAGAUACAGGGAGGAAUGUCAUAAAUCUACGUUGCUGCUCCUUGGGGGAAUCAUUGAGAAUUAUCAUUAUGGUUCUAAGAUCCAUCUUCCUUGAUAAACUAAUUAACACUAUGGUAGUUGUGAACCAUGUCUGCACCGAAGCAAAG